GACGAACGCUGGCGGCGUGCUUAACACAUGCAAGUCGAACGGAAAGGCCCUGCUUUUGUGGGGUGCUCGAGUGGCGAACGGGUGAGUAACACGUGAGUAACCUGCCCUUGACUUUGGGAUAACUUCAGGAAACUGGGGCUAAUACCGGAUAGGAGCUCCUGCUGCAUGGUGGGGGUUGGAAAGUUUCGGCGGUUGGGGAUGGACUCGCGGCUUAUCAGCUUGUUGGUGGGGUAGUGGCUUACCAAGGCUUUGACGGGUAGCCGGCCUGAGAGGGUGACCGGCCACAUUGGGACUGAGAUACGGCCCAGACUCCUACGGGAGGCAGCAGUGGGGAAUAUUGCACAAUGGGCGGAAGCCUGAUGCAGCAACGCCGCGGGCGGGAUGACGGCCUUCGGGUUGUAAACCGCUUUCGCCUGUGACGAAGCGUGAGUGACGGUAAUGGGUAAAGAAGCACCGGCUAACUACG
rnacentral:rRNA from 1 species